ACACAGUGUGGCAAGCUGGAAAGCCCCUGGCACUUCCAGUUUUCAGCAGCUUCCAGCUUUUCGUCUGCUUAUCCCACAGAGCACUGGGAAAUGUGGUGAACAACCUAUAGGAAAAACUGGAACCAGUCAGAUAAAGACAGGAGGGUGCGAAGGAUGGAUCUGACAAACCGAGGUCCCAAAGGCUGCCUGUGAUGGGUCAUCCACUGCUCUGUGUUCUCCAACAUAUGCUGUAGCUGAAUACUGACCAGAGUUACAUCUGCCUGGAAUAUUCUGUCUCUGUCUAAUGUCUAUGCAUAAACACCAAUCAGCUAUGUGAAAAGAAUGUCAAGUAAGACUUUCCUUCAAAUUAUGCUAUAAAACAAAACACCAUGUGAGUCAGAGUUUAAAAAUUUUAAACAUUAAAAAGGUAGAAA
ensembl:lncRNA novel transcript, antisense to NT5DC3